rnacentral:rRNA from 1 species
UACGUAGGGACCAAGCGUUGUUCGGAUUUACUGGGCGUAAAGGGCGCGUAGGCGGCAAUUCAAGUCAUCUGUGAAAUCUCCGGGCUUAACUCGGAACGGUCAAAUGAUACUGCUUUGCUAGAGUGCAGAAGGGGCAAUCGGAAUUCUUGGUGUAGCGGUGAAAUGCGUAGAUAUCAAGAGGAACACCUGAGGUGAAGACGGGUUGCUGGGCUGACACUGACGCUGAGGCGCGAAAGCUAGGGUAGCAAACGGG